GACGCCCCCAUCCCUGGGUUUGUCUCGCAGUUUCUCUUUUCCUUUUGCAGCUGAGCUCAGCUCCGCCCCCGAGCAGGAAGGGAAACGCCGGGAGAGGCGGCCAAACCAGAACUGACUCUCUUGCUCCGUCUUUCCUUCCCAGAGGCAGCAGCCAUGGCGGAGGGUGCCCAGAAGGAGCUCCGCGAGGAAGUUUCUUGCUCCGUCUGCCUGGGCUUCUUCAGGGACCCGGUGACCAUUGCUGGCUGCGGCCACGCUUUCUGCCGGGCCUGCCUGACCCACACCUGGGGGGCCUUAGAGGGGACAGAGGCUUCCUGCCCCCAAUGCAGAGGACCCGCGCAGGAGGGGACCCUCCGGCCCAACCACCAGCUGGCCAACAUUGCAGAAAUUAUCCAGAAGCUCAGCCCUUUGGAGGGGAGCUCCAAGAAGGGAGGCGGGCAGAAGCGAAAGAGGGGGGUCUGCGAGAAGCACCAGGAGCCCCUGAAGUUUCUCUGCCAGGAGGACGAGGCCCCCCUCUGCCUGGUCUGCAGCAGGUCCCAGGAGCACAAAGGUCACCAGGUGAGCCCUCUGGAGGAGGCCUCCCAAGAAAACACGGCAGUCGUGGCUGGUGGAAAAGGGAGAGUUUGCCAGGAGCACCUGGAGCCGCUGAAGCUCUUCUGCACGGAUCACAGAGCCCUCGUCUGUGUGGUCUGUGACCGAUCCAUGGAGCACAGUGAUCAUGAGAUCCUUCCUCUUGACGAGGCCUCCCAAGACUACAAGGAUUACUUCUGCUGCUUUCUGGAGGGGCUGAAGAAGGAGAGAGAAAGAAUUGUGGUGUGCAGAGCAGAUGUAGAGGAGCAAAGCCAAGACCUGCUUAAGCGAGUGACGGGACAGAAGCAAGAGACGGUCACCAAGUUCAGAGAACUGCGCUCACUUCUGGAGGAACAAGAGAAACGUUUUCUGGCUCACAUGGAAGAGGUGGAGGAGGAGGUGGCAAGAAAAAGGGACCAGUACCUGGCCAAAUUCUCUGAGGCGCUCUCCUCUCUGGACAGCCGCGCACAGGAGAUUGAGGAGAUGUGUCAACAGCCGGCCAGUGAACUCCUGCAGGAUGCCAGAAGCUUCUUCGAGGGGAAUGAAGAAAAAAAGAAAAUCAAGAAUCCAGUGCCUUUUCCAUUUUCACUGAAGUGGCAGAUCUGGGACCUCUCAAAUCUAAAUCCCCUUUUGGAGGGUAUUGUGAAGCAAUUCAAAGACACUCUGGAUUCUGGACUUCCCCUGCACAAAGCAAAUGUGACUCUGGAUCCAGACACGGCCCAACCGGAACUUAUCCUAUCUGAAGAUCAGAAAAGCGUGAGGGAUGGAGAAAAACCUCAGAUUCUUCCAGACAAUCCUGAGAGAUUUGAUGUUUAUGGUGCUGUGCUGGGCCGUGAGGGGUUCACAGGAGGCCGCCAUUUCUGGGAAGUCCUUGUGGGAAGUGAGGAACAAUGGGCUGUGGGGGUGGCCAGAAAGUCUGUGAGGAGGAAGGGAGACAUUACUUUUAGUCCUGAGGAAGGGAUCUGGGAGGUGGGGAAGUGGGAAGGGCACUAUAGGGCUUUCAUAGAAGAUUAUUACCCUCCUCUGACCCUGAGUGGGGAGCCCAAGAGGAUCCGAGUCUGUCUGAACUAUGAUGAGGGUCGAGUGGCCUUUUUCGACGCUGAUCGAAGAGCCCUCAUCUUUGAGUUCUCUGGAGCCUCCUUCUCUGGAGAGACCCUCCUGCCCUUCUUUUGGGUACGCAAAAAAGGCCAGCUCAAACUCUUUUAAGACCUUCUCUUCACACCAGCAGCAUCAAGAAGAUAAUAUUUUUUCUCAUAAUAUUUUUUCUCCCCCCCUUUAGUUCUUUAAAGGUCUCUCCAGGCUCCCAGCCACCAAAUCUGACUGAAAUAAAAUAGGGACAUUCCCCCCCCUUCAUCUGAAAAUAACAGCAACAUAUUUCACUUUAUAAAGAAUAGCCAGCUGAUUGUCAAGCAGAUCUCUGAAUAGACACCCCCUCAGCCUCCUCCAGCCCCCAUUCCUCUCAGGCACGAGAGGAACAACUGAAAAGAUCCCACAGAGGAAAAUGAGGCCUUGCCAGUUUAAGUUAAUAUUCUGGACUUCCUCUUUUCUUUGGUUUAUGGGGCACCAUCUUCUAGGAUUUGCCUCUUUUCAGCAUCGCCUUCCUGAAGGGCUCUGAAGAUCCUUUCCCUGUCAAGGUUGCUACAAUCAGCACAGUUGUGUUGCAGAUACCAGUAGCUGGAAAUAUGCUUAUAAUAAAUUGUGUUACCUUGAAAA